rnacentral:tRNA from 1 species
UGCCGGUGUGGCGGAAUUGGUAGACGCGCGCGAUUCAAAAUCGCGUUUCUACGGAAGUGCGGGUUCGAUUCCCGCCGCCGGUAU